CAAUAGCGUAUAUUAAAGUUGUUGCGGUUAAAAAGCUCGUAGUUGGAUUUCUGCUGAGAACGACCGGUCCGCCCUUUGGGUGUGUAUCUGGCUCUUUCUUGGCAUCUUCUUGGUGAACGUUGCUGCACUUGACUGUGUGGAGCGCUACCCAGGACUUUUACUUUGAGGAAAUUAGAGUGUUUCAAGCAGGCAUACGCCUUGAAUACAUUAGCAUGGAAUAAUAAGAUAGGACCUCGGUUCUAUUUUGUUGGUUUCUAGAGCUGAGGUAAUGAUUAAUAGGGAUAGUUGGGGGCAUUCGUAUUUAACUGUCAGAGGUGAAAUUCUUAGAUUUGUUCAAGACGAACUACUGCGAAAGCAUUUGCCAAGUACGUUCCCAUUAA
rnacentral:rRNA from 1 species